rnacentral:lncRNA from 1 species
CGCAGCGCGUCGCUCAGGCCUGGACCUUGCCAAGAGCGGAAUAGGAGAAAAGGCCGGUUGAAGUUGAAGAGGAGGCUAGCGGGGCUCGAGCGCGCGCCUGCGCACGAAAGCGAGCACGCGCGGGCGUUGUGGACGGUUCCUGGGCAACCGCCCCUCCUGCUCCGGUAGCACGCGCCCCCUCCUCAGGUCCCGCCCUUUCCCAGCCCCUGGGGUCACGUGAGAGGCCGCUGUCCUCCCCCCCCUGUCCCCCGACCUCCUCUUAGGACUAGGGAGCUCUUAGGAGUAGGGAGCUCUGUUGCAGGAAUCUGGAAAGGUUCCGUGCUUUGUGUGUUCUGGUGCAACCGGCGCGAGCUGUCACCGACCCCUGCCGCCGCGGGAAGGAGUUAUUUUUUUUGCAGAGUAAAAGCACCAGCGCCCCGUGUAGCAAACGUGUUCACAUCAUCAAGGGGAACAAAGUCUGGGGCUGAGCACACGCCUGCACCGAGUAGGUUCCGAGGCCAGCUCCCAGCCCCGCUGCAGCAUGCCUUGGGUGCGCUGUCACUGAGACCAGGGUGUUCCUGGACUCCUCUACAAGUUCAUUCUGGCGUCCCUCCCUGCUUCCCCCCAGAGACUCGAAUCAGAACAUUUCCGAAGCUUUAUUAAUUUCCAAGGGAAAAGAUUUCUCACAUCAGGGGGGAAAGGAGGUUGUGACUCAGCAGCGGACUUGUUGAGGCUUGCAAAAUGGAAGAGAAAAGAGCUUUCCAUGUCAAGCUCUGAGGAGCGCUGGAAGGGGACUUAAUCCUGAGUAAUUCCUUUACGCAGGAACAUUUUACAUAGAGAAAAACAUACUUAACUGUAGGUCAAUAAUAACGGAUCCACACAACGCAAUAAAUUCCUGGUGGAGAACAGAUGUGCGGUCAAUGGACAGACCACAGGGCUGGCUGGAGCUUUAGGAUAAGACACAAAUCUAAACAUACCUGGGAAAAGAGUUGAAGAAUUUUCUCCAUCAGAUUGGCCUGUGGACAUCUCUGUGUGAACAUUUUCUUGAUGGAUAUAGGAGGGACCAGCCCUUGUGAGCAGCAACAUCCCUGAGCAGGUGUGCGUG